GAUGAACGCUGGCGGCGUGCCUAAUACAUGCAAGUCGAGCGAACAGACGAGGAGCUUGCUCCUCUGACGUUAGCGGCGGACGGGUGAGUAACACGUGGAUAACCUACCUAUAAGACUGGGAUAACUUCAGGAAACCGGAGCUAAUACCGGAUAAUAUAUUGAACCGCAUGGUUCAAUAGUGAAAGACGGUUUUGCUGUCACUUAUAGAUGGAUCCGCGCCGCAUUAGCUAGUUGGUAAGGUAACGGCUUACCAAAGCAACGAUGCGUAGCCGACCUGAGAGGGUGAUCGGCCACACUGGAACUGAGACACGGUCCAGACUCCUACGGGAGGCAGCAGUAGGGAAUCUUCCGCAAUGGGCGAAAGCCUGACGGAGCAACGCCGCGUGAGUGAUGAAGGUCUUCGGAUCGUAAAACUCUGUUAUUAGGGAAGAACAAAUGUGUAAGUAACUAUGCACGUCUUGACGGUACCUAAUCAGAAAGCCACGGCUAACUACGUG
rnacentral:rRNA from 1 species